rnacentral:rRNA from 1 species
UACGAAGGGGGCUAGCGUUGCUCGGAAUCACUGGGCGUAAAGCGCACGUAGGCGGCUUCUUAAGUCAGGGGUGAAAUCCUGGAGCUCAACUCCAGAACUGCCCUUGAUACUGAGAGGCUCGAGUCCGGGAGAGGUGAGUGGAACUGCGAGUGUAGAGGUGAAAUUCGUAGAUAUUCGCAAGAACACCAGUGGCGAAGGCGGCUCACUGGCCCGGUACUGACGCUGAGGUGCGAAAGCUAGGGUAGCAAACGGG